GGGUUGUGAGGUUAAGCGACUAAGCGUACACGGUGGAUGCCCUGGCAGUCAGAGGCGAUGAAGGACGUGCUAAUCUGCGAUAAGCGCCGGUAAGGUGAUAUGAACCGUUAUAACCGGCGAUUUCCGAAUGGGGAAACCCAGUGUGACUCGUCACACUAUCAUUAACUGAAUCCAUAGGUUAAUGAGGCGAACCGGGGGAACUGAAACAUCUAAGUACCCCGAGGAAAAGAAAUCAACCGAGAUUCCCCCAGUAGCGGCGAGCGAACGGGGAGGAGCCCAGAGCCUGAAUCAGCAUGUGUGUUAGUGGAAGCGUCUGGAAAGGCGCGCGAUACAGGGUGACAGCCCCGUACACAAAAGCGCAUGUGCUGUGAGCUCGAUGAGUAGGGCGGGACACGUGGUAUCCUGUCUGAAUAUGGGGGGACCAUCCUCCAAGGCUAAAUACUCCUGACUGACCGAUAGUGAACCAGUACCGUGAGGGAAAGGCGAAAAGAACCCCGGCGAGGGGAGUGAAAAAGAACCUGAAACCGUGUACGUACAAGCAGUGGGAGCNNGGGCGUUAAGUUGCAGGGUAUAGACCCGAAACCCGGUGAUCUAGCCAUGGGCAGGUUGAAGGUUGGGUAACACUAACUGGAGGACCGAACCGACUAAUGUUGAAAAAUUAGCGGAUGACCUGUGGCUGGGGGUGAAAGGCCAAUCAAACCGGGAGAUAGCUGGUUCUCCCCGAAAGCUAUUUAGGUAGCGCCUCGUGAAUUCAUCUCCGGGGGUAGAGCACUGUUUCGGCUAGGGGGCCAUCCCGGCUUACCAACCCGAUGCAAACUGCGAAUACCGGAGAAUGUUAUCACGGGAGACACACGGCGGGUGCUAACGUCCGUCGUGAAGAGGGAAACAACCCAGACCGCCAGCUAAGGUCCCAAAGUCAUGGUUAAGUGGGAAACGAUGUGGGAAGGCCCAGACAGCCAGGAUGUUGGCUUAGAAGCAGCCAUCAUUUAAAGAAAGCGUAAUAGCUCACUGGUCGAGUCGGCCUGCGCGGAAGAUGUAACGGGGCUAAACCAUGCACCGAAGCUGCGGCAGCGANNUGCUGGAGGUAUCAGAAGUGCGAAUGCUGACAUAAGUAACGAUAAAGCGGGUGAAAAGCCCGCUCGCCGGAAGACCAAGGGUUCCUGUCCAACGUUAAUCGGGGCAGGGUGAGUCGACCCCUAAGGCGAGGCCGAAAGGCGUAGUCGAUGGGAAACGGGUUAAUAUUCCCGUACUUGGUGUUACUGCGAAGGGGGGACGGAGAAGGCUAUGUUGGCCGGGCGACGGUUGUCCCGGUUUAAGCGUGUAGGUGUGUGUUCCAGGUAAAUCCGGUUCACUUUAACACUGAGGCGUGACGACGAGGCACUACGGUGCUGAAGCAACAAAUGCCCUGCUUCCAGGAAAAGCCUCUAAGCAUCAGGUAACAUCAAAUCGUACCCCAAACCGACACAGGUGGUCAGGUAGAGAAUACCAAGGCGCUUGAGAGAACUCGGGUGAAGGAACUAGGCAAAAUGGUGCCGUAACUUCGGGAGAAGGCACGCUGACAUGUAGGUGAAGUGAUUUACUCAUGGAGCUGAAGUCAGUCGAAGAUACCAGCUGGCUGCAACUGUUUAUUAAAAACACAGCACUGUGCAAACACGAAAGUGGACGUAUACGGUGUGACGCCUGCCCGGUGCCGGAAGGUUAAUUGAUGGGGUCAGCGCAAGCGAAGCUCCUGAUCGAAGCCCCGGUAAACGGCGGCCGUAACUAUAACGGUCCUAAGGUAGCGAAAUUCCUUGUCGGGUAAGUUCCGACCUGCACGAAUGGCGUAAUGAUGGCCAGGCUGUCUCCACCCGAGACUCAGUGAAAUUGAACUCGCUGUGAAGAUGCAGUGUACCCGCGGCAAGACGGAAAGACCCCGUGAACCUUUACUAUAGCUUGACACUGAACAUUGAGCCUUGAUGUGUAGGAUAGGUGGGAGGCUUUGAAGUGUGGACGCCAGUCUGCAUGGAGCCGACCUUGAAAUACCACCCUUUAAUGUUUGAUGUUCUAACGUGGACCCGUUAUCCGGGUUGCGGACAGUGUCUGGUGGGUAGUUUGACUGGGGCGGUCUCCUCCUAAAGAGUAACGGAGGAGCACGAAGGUUGGCUAAUCCUGGUCGGACAUCAGGAGGUUAGUGCAAUGGCAUAAGCCAGCUUGACUGCGAGCGUGACGGCGCGAGCAGGUGCGAAAGCAGGUCAUAGUGAUCCGGUGGUUCUGAAUGGAAGGGCCAUCGCUCAACGGAUAAAAGGUACUCCGGGGAUAACAGGCUGAUACCGCCCAAGAGUUCAUAUCGACGGCGGUGUUUGGCACCUCGAUGUCGGCUCAUCACAUCCUGGGGCUGAAGUAGGUCCCAAGGGUAUGGCUGUUCGCCAUUUAAAGUGGUACGCGAGCUGGGUUUAGAACGUCGUGAGACAGUUCGGUCCCUAUCUGCCGUGGGCGCUGGAGAACUGAGGGGGGCUGCUCCUAGUACGAGAGGACCGGAGUGGACGCAUCACUGGUGUUCGGGUUGU
rnacentral:rRNA from 1 species